rnacentral:lncRNA from 1 species
GAGGCGGUUGGUGUGUUCACUGGGCUCAAAGUACAUGACUGCUGGAGAUGAUGCUGCUUUUGGAAUGAUAGGUUGGGCUGAGAGUUUCAUGCAAUCAUUGUUUCCCAGGUGGUUGUAGCUAACAGAUAAUUUGGCACCCACCAGCCAAUCAAUUUCAUCACAAUCAGAAACCAUCUUUUUCCAUAAAGUGCUUAUAACGAUCAAAACUAUAUAUAUACCUGAUUCCAGCCCUUACAAGAAAAUAAACCAUAACAGACUUCAUCUUUGUCUUGCCAAUCUUCAAUUCUUCAUCUCUUCUACUGUUGCUCCGAAUGGCGAAAACAAUAAGCGCUGCAAACAAAAACGAAGUUAAACAAAAGAAAGGCACAAUCUUUUGCUUGUCUAAAAAACUUCAACCGAACAACAAAGCAAAGAGCAAGGUUAUCAAAUUUAAGAACCUAAAAUCUCAGCCUCCUUAAUUUUCUCCAAAGAAGCAAGAAGGUUCACCAUUGUACCUUCUCCAUCAUAAGAUCCAACUCUAUUUAAUGAUUCUUUAGUGAGCCAAAAAAUUGGCUUGUUGCACUUUGUCCUUUGUGGCACAGGAGAUUCAUCUGAGAACAAAAAUUAAAUCAAUAAAGUGACUCGCACUUGAUUAAGAUUUAAUCAAAAAAUUUAAUAAGAAACUCUUGAUUGCUAUGAAGCCAACAGUGAGAGUUCACUGUUCCUACGCCACCCCACAGGCAUACUCUAAAAAUAAGCCAAAAAAAAAAAUCCGAAGAAAUUCUGAUUUCCAAAUUGACCGACCAAAGUUAAAAAAUGAAAAGAAUAAGAAUCUACAGAGCCUGCUGUACGGCCAAGGCGGAUGUACGGUACAGCAGUUUUAUUUAGUUUCUAUCCGACAUUUACUGUGAUAGGCAAUGAAAUUGGUGCAAAUAAAUUACGGACCAACAUUGUUUAAUCUCAUUGGACAGAUCGUUAUAACUCAAUAGUACAGCAGGUAAAAUAUCUUUUUCAAAAUCUUCCACCUGCCAAAUUUCACUAUCUAAGAUAUUUUGCCACUCUUCUCUAGUUUUUUUAACCACAACAAACCCCAGAUAGUUUUAGCCGCAAGUGGCAACAUUCUGGUUUAGACAAUUAUUUCUACCAAUUUCUUCUAAUUGUUCGCACUCUAAACGAGAUCGAUUGAGAAAAGCAAAUCGUUUAAAUAGCGACAACAUUCUGGUUUAGACAAUUCUUUAAUGAAGAUAAGAUAGAAUUAUUAAUGCGUUGAUGAAGUGAAUUCAGUUCACCUAAAUUAGGAGUAGAACCUUCUAAAUUUUCGAUGAUGGCUUUCGCAAUUCGAAACUCAUCGAAAGGGUCCGAAACACAAACCCAGAUCCUAACAUUAAAAUUGUUGAUUACAUCUGCAUCGUUGUAAGCCAAUUGAGCAAGAGUUGUCUUUCCGAUACCACCCAUCCCUACGAGAGAGAUGAGUUGGAUGGCAUUUGGUUGUUCAGCAGUUUCACUUAACAACUUGCCCUUCAGAGCAUUUUUCUCCUCAUUUCGACCACACACUUCAGACACAUUAAUUAAGGCAGUACUUUGCGUCCUCUCAGAUUUAUCCUCCUUACUUCUAGUGACACUCAAAUUAAAAGUAUCUUUCUGGCUAGCAAUAUCAUCUAAAGUUUCAUUCAUUUCUUUUAUCUUUUUAGCAAUAUCACAACACAGAAAGAGUUGUUUGAAACCAAAGCAAGAGGCAGCAGGAAAGAAAGAGAUGCAUACCUUCUGCAGGAAAGAAAGAGCAUUAUCAGCAUCAACUCCCUCGAUUUGCAGUUUGAGCCUGGCAGUAUUCCACUCAUCCAAUACAUCUUCAGUGUCGUAGGAUGCGUGUUUGAGCUUGUCUAAAGAAAUUUCAGAAAUAUGUUUUCACUACAACUGUUAGAUGCAUGAAUAAAACAGAGGACGAUACAACAUCAGAUUUGACCACUGAUUGAAUUGCUGUUCAUAUGACUGCAGUUAAAAAAAAAAAAAAACAUCGAUGAAUACCAAAACACAAGUCACUGUCGUUAAUAUUUCUCUUAUUAACGCAGGUGAGAUUACCUUGAUGAAUGGAGGCGGUUGGUGUGUUCACUGGGCUCAAAGUACAUGACUGCUGGAGAUGAUGCUGCUUUUGGAAUGAUAGGUUGGGCUGAGAGUUUCAUGCAAUCAUUGUUUCCCAGGUGGUUGUAGCUAACAGAUAAUUUGGCACCCACCAGCCAAUCAAUUUCAUCACAAUCAGAAACCAUCUUUUUCCAUAAAGUGCUUAUAACGAUCAAAACUAUAUAUA